AGGUAUAUAGUUCAGUGGCAUAGCAUCUGCCUGGCAAGCACAAGGCCCUGAGGUCAAUUCCCAGUAUCCCCA
rnacentral:tRNA from 1 species